AUCCUUCGGUUCAUUAAUGUGAUGAUCGGGAGCGUCAUAGUGUUUCUGUGACAGGUGUGACCUCAUUGUUACGCAAUGCACCUCAGCCGUCUGAUC
ensembl:snoRNA